rnacentral:rRNA from 1 species
AAUAUUGGACAAUGGGCGAAAGCCUGAUCCAGCAAUGCCGCGUGAGUGAUGAAGGCCUAGGGUUGUAAAGCUCUUUUACCCGGGGAUGAUAAUGACAGUACCGGGAGAAUAACGCCCCGGCUAACUCCGUGCCAGCAGCCGCGGUAAUACGGGAGGGGGCUAGCGUUGUUCGGAAUUACGUGGGACGUAAAGCGCACGUAGGCGGUCUUUUAAGUCAGAGGUGAAAGCCCGGGGCUCAACCCCGGAAUUGCCUUUGAGACUGGAAAGCUAGAACACGGGAGAGGUGAGUGGAAUUCCGAGUGUAGAGGUGAAAUUCGUAGAUAUUCGGAAGAACACCAGUGGCGAAGGCGGCUCACUGGACCGUUGUUGACGCUGAGGUGACGAAAGCGUGGGGAGCAAACAGGAUUAGAUACCCUGGUAG